rfam:Candidatus Nomurabacteria bacterium RIFOXYA1_FTLL_35_17 rifoxya1_full_scaffold_492, whole genome shotgun sequence.
GGAGGGUUGGCCGAGUGGUUUAUGGCGCACGCUUCGAAAGCGUGUGGGCGAAAGCCCGCAGAGGUUCAAAUCCUCUACCCUCCG